rnacentral:lncRNA from 1 species
AAGCAAUUACAUGUUUGGAAUUGAAAUGUAUGGUAAUAUAAUACAAUAUAAAUGAAUGGAUAAAUCGUGGUAUAUCCAUGCAAUGGAAUACUACUCAGCAAUGAAAAGGAAGAAACUAUUAAUGCACUUAAGAUCAUUGCUGAUUUUCAAAUUAAUUAUCCUGUGUAAUAAAGAAUUUGGCCUUUGUCCCCAGUUCCUGGGAGAUAGGCUCUAAAUCCUUGGAAUUUUCCAAGUCGAAGAGUGUCUUUUUUACUGGUGGUUGGCCUGUCAACCACACUUGAGUUUAUGCUAAUGAGGUGACUCAUGAUGGGACCUUACACAAUUUAUGCUAAUGGAAUGACUCAAGAUGGGGGCUGGCCAUGCCAGAAAAACCAACCAUGUAUUUAGAAGGUUGGGGCUUUGAGCUUUUGAUAUAGGCCUGACUUCUGGGGAGAGGAGCAGGGCUGAAGAUUGAGUCAUAGGCCAGUGAUCCAAUGAGUCAUGCCUAUGUGAUGAAGCCCCUAAUAAAAACAAUGGAUAUCAAAGCUCGGGUGAGUCUGACUGCUUGGCUACGCUCAGUGUCUUGUCUCACAUCAGUGUGCUGGAAGGGUCCUUUGUCCUGACUCCACAAGGAGAAGACAUGGAAGCUUCAUGUUUGGGACACUCCCAGUCCUUGCCCUGUGCAUCUCUUCUUUUGGCUGGUUCUGAUUUUGAAAACUUUGGCUACAAUAAAACUGUAAUAAUAAGUGUAGUUCUUUCGUGGGUCUUGUGGGGUUUUCUAGUGAAUUACCAAACCUGAGAGGGGAGUGGGAAGCCCCCAAAAUUGUGACUGCAUCUGAAGUGGGAGCAGUCUUGAGCCCUUAACCUUGAGCCUAGCUCCUGGUAGUUGUUGUCAGAAGUCAUUGCAAUUAUGCUGAGUAAAAAAAGUCAGAAUAAAAGAGGACAUACUAUAGUCUUUAAAAAUGCAAAUUAACACACAGUGACAGAAAGUAGAUCAGUGGUUGCCCGGGACCAAAUUACUAGCUGCGUGACCUCAGGCAAGUUACUGAACCUUCGGUUCUGCCAUCUGAAACUGGAGAUGCUAAUGGUGACUACGUCCUAUGAUUACUUGAUGAGCUAGUACGCGUACACCACGUACCUUGUUUAGAACAGUGCCUGGCCUAGAGUGACCACUCAAUAGUUGUUAUUUGUUUCACUGCAAAUGGAAACAUUUGGCAAAGAACUGUUGAGACAAAUAGAGCUGGAAAGGACAACCGAGUAAACAGUGCUUGGUUAACCACAUCAGAAUCACUCGGAGAUUGCUCCAAAAAUGCAGAUUACUGAGCCCCACCUGUGAGAUUCUGGUGGAACCCAGGAACCUGGCUUUUUGCAAAUGCUCCUCCUACUUGGAUCGACAGCCAGACUACCGGCACAGAAGAAAAUGCCCCAAAUUUGGAGUAAGGAAAUCCAGGACUCUGGUAGUAUUUCUGCCAGUGACCCAGUGUGUGACUUCUGAGACUACACUUUCUCAUUUGUAAAAUGCAGAUAACAAAUUUGAUUUAUUCAUAGAGUAGUUGUGGGGGUCACAUUACUAAAGUCAUUUCUGUCGGGGAAGCUGGCUUAGUGGGGUGAAAGGAAUGCAGGCUUUGCAAUAAGCUGGACCCGGCUGUGAGUUCCAUCGUGGAGGCCGCUGCAGAUGUCGUUAGUUGCCAAUUCUAUAUCCAGCCCCCUCUUCCUAACGCAACCCUGAUUUUGCUUGGUGUGUAACUGUGCCUAGUUGAAAAUACUUCCUCCCAGACUUCCUUGCAGCUGGGUGGCCAUGUGACACGGUUCUCUCUGCUGAGGAGUUUCUGGGAAGGCUUAUCUUUCCUUUUUCUUGUUUGUUUGUUUGUUUGUUUGUUUGGAAACAGGGUCUUGCUCUGUAACCCAGGCUGGAGUGCAUUGGCACAAACAACUCACUGCAGUCUUAAACUCCUGGGCUCAAGCUAUCCUCCCACCUCAGCCUCAUGAGUAGCUGAGACUACAGAUGCACACCCCAUACCUGGCUAAUUAUUAUUUUUUUUUAAGAGACAAGGUCUCACCAUGUUUCCCAGGCUGGUCUCCAACUCCUGGGCUCAAGCAAUCCUCCUGCCUCGGCCUCCCAAAGUGCUGGGAUUAUAGGCGUGAGCCACCCACCGUGCAGCCUAUUUUCUUGAUACAGACACUUGUUCCUGUUUCUCCCUUUGCCCUAUUGUCUUCCCCUUUUCUUACUGCCUGGAACAUGGAUGAAAGGCUUGGCAGAGCAGCAGCCAUCUUGUUCCUAUGAGGGUACAAAUCUGGGAGGGUAGCUUACAGGCUGAGUAUGACAGUGUGAGGAGAUGAAAAGAUUCUAGAUCCCUAGUGGCAUCAUCCAGCAGUGGCAGCAUCUCUGGGCUGCCCACCCCUAAAUGUUUUAUAUAUAUAUGAGACAAAUCUCUAUUGUUUAGGGUGGAGGUAAUUUUUUUGUUGAUUAUUUGUACCUUAAACUUCUUAGGGAGAAUUAAAAAACAAAUAAAGGGCCAGGUGCAGUGGCUCACGCCUAUAAUCCCAGCACUUUGGGAGGCUGAGGCGGGCAGAUCACGAGGUCAGGAAAUCGAGACCAUCCUGGUCGACAUGGUGAAACCUCAUCUUUACUAAAAACACACACACACAAAAAAUAGCUGGGUGUGGUGGUGCACGCCUGUAAUCCCAGCUACUUGGCAGGCUGAGGCAGGAGAAUCGCUUGAACCAGGGACUUGGAGGUUGCAGUGAGCCGAGAUGGCGCCACUGCACUCCAGCCUGGCGACAGAGUGAGACUCUGUCUCAAAACAAAACAAAACAAAACAAAAAAACAAACAACAACAACAACAAAUAAAGAUCCUAGAACCAUGUCUGACCCAGUGGACAUUCAUAUAUCUGCUUCCCCUUCUCCAGCUGUGAGACGUUUUCUGCAUUUGUGCAGUGAGGCUUCUUCUAAAUUCAAUAUCCUAUGUUUAACUAAUGAUAAGGUCGAAGAAUUGGGCCCUGGGACUGGCCUCUGAAAUAAAUGGCCCUUUAUUCCAGGCCCUUCCCCUGGGGGAGUUUGGGAAGGCAGAAGCACUAGUUUGUCACUCCCAAAACCCCACCAAGUGCCUGGGCACAGGUACAGCAUGGAGAACCUAUAGCACCCUGACCUAUGGAGAUGUCUGCACCCCAAUAAAACAGAUGUUAAAAUCUCCAUGUGCUUUGUGAGGCAGAGCAUGCAAAAUGUGAGUUCAAAAGACAUGAAAUUGCCCCUGCUCUGAUGUAAAUAUAGAUGAUGAUUCUAAGUGGGACACACAUGUGUGAGAAGGUAAGAAUGAAACCUAUUAACCUCCCACUUCCCCCCCAACACACAUACAUUUCCCAUUAUUUUCUCCUGUUGGAAGUACUUGGGUGUGAGUGUGGGCACCUGUAUACCAGUGGGAACAGAAAGGAGUUUGUUUUCAUUACCAUCCUUUUUUUGAGAUGGAGUCUUGCUCUGUCACCAGGCUGGAGUGCAGUGGCAUGAUCUCAGCUCACUGCAACCUCCACCUCCAGGGUUCAAG